CGUAGGGGGCGAGCGUUGUCCGGAUUUACUGGGCGUAAAGAGCGCGUAGGCGGAGAUCUAAGCGUGGCCUGAAAGCCCCCGGCUCAACCGGGGAGUGCGGCUGCGAACUGGGUUUCUUGAGGACGAUAGAGGAGAGUGGAAUUCCUGGUGUAGCGGUGAAAUGCGUAGAUAUCAGGAGGAACACCCGAGGCGAAGGCGGCUCUCUGGGUCGUACCUGACGCUGAGGCGCGAAAGCGUGGGGAGCGAACGGGAUUAGAUACCCCGGUAGUCCACGCCGUAAACGAUGGUCACUAGGUGUGUGUGGUAUCGACCCCGCACGUGCCGCAGCUAACGCAAUAAGUGACCCGCCUGGGGAGUACGGCCGCAAGGUUG
rnacentral:rRNA from 1 species